rnacentral:rRNA from 1 species
GACGAACGCUGGCGGCGUGCAUAACACAUUCAAGUCGAACGGUGACGGAGGCUUCGGCCUCCUGAUCAGUGGCGGACGGGUGAGUAACGCGUGAGCAACCUGCCUCAUACCCCCGGGAUAACAGUUGGAAACGGCUGCUAAUACCGGAUGAUAUAUUUGGAUUGCAUGGUUUAAAUAUCAAAGCUACGGUGGUAUGAGAUGGGCUCGCGUAUGAUUAGAUAGUUGGCAGGGUAACGGCCUACCAAGUCUACGAUCAUUAGCGAACUGAGAGGUUGAACGGCCACAUUGGAACUGAGAAACGGUCCAGACUCCUACGGGAGGCAGCAGUAGGGAAUUUUCGGCAAUGGGGGAAACCCUGACCGAGCAAACGCCGCGUGAGUGAAGACGGCCUCGGUGUAAG